AGUGGAGGUCAAAGUAGAAUCUGCUGUUGAUGUGGAGCCUCCAGUUCACACUCGUUAUCCUUUAUAUUUGUCCCUGAAUGACACAAUAAGUGAGAACUGUCACUGUUUUUAUUUAAUGUCCAUGUGUAAAAGCCUAAUAUCAACUUUUUAGCUAGUGUUUAUCAUGAAACAGCAAUGUUUCAACUUUUUUUGCUUUCUUUGCUUAAAUCUCUUCCAACACCAACUCUUUGCUUUGAUCCAAACCCAAAUUAAAAACAAAUAUCGAUCGACUCACACACAGGAAAAUCCAUCUUUGAUGAAAACAGCGAGUUAUGUUUUAAAAGGAGCUGUUGAGGAAAGUGUGUGUGAGCAGAUGAUGAUUCAUUAUUAUCGUUAAAGACAUCUGACCUGUGGAAUGGAAAAAAUACAUUUAGUGAAGUCUAUAUAUUCUUUUUAAAUUGUUAAGAAAGUUCUGUGUUUUAUGUGGAACGUUUUCAUUAGAAAUGUCAAAGUUCGAGCUGUUGGGUCAGAUUCUUACCAGAAAAAGAACCUGGAUUGAAUCCAGACCCAAAGCUGGACAUUUUCUGUUAUAACAGCUCACACACACACAAGUGUUAUGGCUGUUUUUGAGACUUGAGUCUCUCCCUCUCUCCUGCUGCUUUCUUGCUCUCUCUCUCUCUCUCUCUCUGCCUCAUGUCGUCCCAACCAAAACAGGCCCAGCACACGCCAUGUUUAACUCUGGAGUAAACUGUAUAAUUUCACCUCCCCUCUCCGCUGCCAAGUCUAAACACCAUCAGAGGCAGGUUGUGUGUGUGUUGGCCUGUGAGGUCACACAGACCAUCCACUUCACUGAACCUAAACAGAGCCUGCAGCUUAGUGACAAACAGCGAAGCCGUCGUGAUCUGAUGGAUGAAGACAACGGAUGUCCAACAGAUUGGCGGUUGCUUCGGCUGAGGAGCCGAGCCGACGGCUCGCCAAUGUCUUUCAUCCCCAGAUCAAAAAGACUUGUGGAGCCCUCACUCUGCAUCAGUGUCUGGCAGGGUGUACAACCUAAUAUGUCUGGGUGUGUUGUAAAUGACUGGUGA
rnacentral:lncRNA from 1 species